AUUGAACGCUGGCGGCAGGCUUAACACAUGCAAGUCGAACGAGUGGCGGACGGGUGAGUAAUGCAUGGGAAUCUAGCUUAUGGAGGGGGAUAACUACGGGAAACUGUAGCUAAUACCGCGUACCACAGGAUGAGCCCAAGUGGGAUUAGGUAGUUGGUGAGGUAGAGGCUCACCAAGCCGACGAUCGCUAGCUGGUCUGAGAGGAUGACCAGCCACACUGGGACUGAGACACGGCCCAGACUCCUACGGGAGGCAGCAGUGGGGAAUAUUGCGCAAUGGGGGCAACCUGACGCAGCCAUGCCGCGUGAAUGAAGAAGGCCUUCGGGUUGUAAAGUUCUUUCGGUAGCGAAGCGUUAUCUACAGAAGAAGCACCGGCUAACUCCGUGCCAGCAGCCGCGGUAAUUC
rnacentral:rRNA from 1 species